GUUUAGUGCAUGGUGAGAGAUAUAGGUCUAGUUUUAAUCUUGGGCAAGAUGAAAUCCAAUUUUUCCAGCAUCAUUUAUUAAAGAGGCUAUCUUUUCUCCAGUGAGGGUGCUUGGCUCCUUUGUCAAAGAUGAUGAGGUGACUGAGUAUGUCUGGAGUUGUUUCUGCCUCUUCUAAUCUAUUCCACUGAUGCUCAGGUCUGUUUCUUUGCCUGUACCAAGCUGUUUUUUUCACAGUAGCUUGUAGUAUAGUUUCAAUUUGGGGGUUGUGAUACCCCCUGCCAUGUCUCUGUUGCCUAGAAUUGCUCUUGCUAUUCUAGGUCUCUUCUUGUUCUAAAUGAAUUUUUGGAUUGUUUUCUCAAGGUCUGUGAAAUAUGCUGAAGGUUUUAAUUGUCCAAUGACUCUUAGGCAAUCUCGUUUUCAGUAUACCAGGAAGGACAACUGAUUAGAUCAAUCACAACAGCUUAGUCCGAAUGAUACAAUCAGCAGCAACAAUAGCAUCAAGUACAGCUUGGAAAAUGACAAUUUCUGGUAGUUAUUAAUCUAUCAGCCAUGGGGUGGAGGAUAGAGGGUGUUGUUGGCACUGCACAGCUCACCUCUUCGGUGCUGGGGGCUCUGCUCCUCAGUGCUCAGGGGUGGUGCUACAGUGGCCCGAGUGGCUCACCUCCUUGGCACUGGGGGGCUCUCAAGAAAGUCAUCUUAGAACAAGUGUGAUAAAGAUAGCCACAAAUUCUUUGCCCUUUGUCCCACUGAGAGGUGAAAUCUGUUUCAUUUCCUUGAUAUGGACUAAUCUGAUUUUGCUUGAACAAGAGAAUAAGGAAGUUAACAUUCUGAAAUGUUCAAGAACUAAGUCAUAAUAAACCUUGUAUCCUCCAUCUGGUUCUUUUAGUAUGCUCUUUUUGGAAAUUCUAGGCUGCCUUUAUAAAACAGUUCUUGUUGAUAAUCCCUGCUAAGUCCAGCUUUCCAGCCAUAUUCACGAAGUCAUCACACAUGCAAGUAAACUCAUCUCUCAGAGCAGCUCCCUACAGCUGAAUACCAACAAGUGACCACAGCUGAGGCCACAUGGCACAAAUCACCAGGGUGAGCUCUGCCCAAAUUUCUGACCUGCAGGAUCAUGUGAUACAGUCAAAUUUUUUUCUUGACCUAAAUCCCUGUACUUUAGAAUACAGAGUAAAUUAUUGUACACUAAGUAGAAAACUCAAACAAAAUUUUAUACCCGGAAAUAGAGGUCUGCAGUAAUGAAAACCUGAAAAUUUAGCACUGGCUUGGGACUGGAUGGUGGCCAGAAGCUGGAGGAGCCUUAAGAAAACUGGUAGUGACAGGUGAAGAGCUCUGGGAAGGCUUGGUGAAAGACAUGAGGAAAAUGCUAAUAGAGGUUGAGAAAAAGGAGGAUCUUACAUAGACGUGGAAAGUUUCACAGGACUGUGGCCUUCAGUAAUUUGGAAAAUAGAAGAAAAAUUAACUGUAAAAAGAAUUGUUCAGGUUCUUAGCAGAACUUAAAGAAAAUUAAAAGAUCUAGG
rnacentral:lncRNA from 1 species